UGGGAAUUUGGACAAUGGGCGAAAGCCUGAUCCAGCAAUGCCGCGUGUGUGAAGAAGGCCUUCGGGUUGUAAAGCACUUUUGUCCGGAAAGAAAUCCUUGGCUCUAAUACAGUCGGGGGAUGACGGUACCGGAAGAAUAAGCACCGGCUAACUACGUGCCAGCAGCCGCGGUAAUACGUAGGGUGCAAGCGUUAAUCGGAAUUACUGGGCGUAAAGCGUGCGCAGGCGGUUUGCUAAGACCGAUGUGAAAUCCCCGGGCUCAACCUGGGAACUGCAUUGGUGACUGGCAGGCUAGAGUAUGGCAGAGGGGGGUAGAAUUCCACGUGUAGCAGUGAAAUGCGUUGAGAUGUGGAGGAAUACCGAUGGCGAAGGCAGCCCCCUGGGCCAAAUACUGACGCUCAUGCACGAAAAGCGUGGGGAGCAAAACAGGAUUAGAUACCCUGGUAGUCCACGCCCUAAAACGAUGUCAACUAGUUGUUGGGGAUUCAUUUCCUUAGUAACGUAGCUAACGCGUGAAGUUGACCGCCUGGGGAGUACGGUCGCAAGAUUAAAACUUAAAUGAAUUGACGGG
rnacentral:rRNA from 1 species